rnacentral:rRNA from 1 species
UGACGAGGCACUACGGUGCUGAAGCAACAAAUGCCCUGCUUCCAGGAAAAGCCUCUAAGCAUCAGGUAACAUCAAAUCGUACCCCAAACCGACACAGGUGGUCAGGUAGAGAAUACCAAGGCGCUUGAGAGAACUCGGGUGAAGGAACUAGGCAAAAUGGUGCCGUAACUUCGGGAGAAGGCACGCUGAUAUGUAGGUGAAGUCCCUCGCGGAUGGAGCUGAAAUCAGUCGAAGAUACCAGCUGGCUGCAACUGUUUAUUAAAAACACAGCACUGUGCAAACACGAAAGUGGACGUAUACGGUGUGACGCCUGCCCGGUGCCGGAAGGUUAAUUGAUGGGGUCAGCGCAAGCGAAGCUCUUGAUCGAAGCCCCGGUAAACGGCGGCCGUAACUAUAACGGUCCUAAGGUAGCGAAAUUCCUUGUCGGGUAAGUUCCGACCUGCACGAAUGGCGUAAUGAUGGCCAGGCUGUCUCCACCCGAGACUCAGUGAAAUUGAACUCGCUGUGAAGAUGCAGUGUACCCGCGGCAAGACGGAAAGACCCCGUGAACCUUUACUAUAGCUUGACACUGAACAUUGAGCCUUGAUGUGUAGGAUAGGUGGGAGGCUUUGAAGUGUGGACGCCAGUCUGCAUGGAGCCGACCUUGAAAUACCACCCUUUAAUGUUUGAUGUUCUAACGUGGACCCGUGAUCCGGGUUGCGGACAGUGUCUGGUGGGUAGUUUGACUGGGGCGGUCUCCUCCUAAAGAGUAACGGAGGAGCACGAAGGUUGGCUAAUCCUGGUCGGACAUCAGGAGGUUAGUGCAAUGGCAUAAGCCAGCUUGACUGCGAGCGUGACGGCGCGAGCAGGUGCGAAAGCAGGUCAUAGUGAUCCGGUGGUUCUGAAUGGAAGGGCCAUCGCUCAACGGAUAAAAGGUACUCCGGGGAUAACAGGCUGAUACCGCCCAAGAGUUCAUAUCGACGGCGGUGUUUGGCACCUCGAUGUCGGCUCAUCACAUCCUGGGGCUGAAGUAGGUCCCAAGGGUAUGGCUGUUCGCCAUUUAAAGUGGUACGCGAGCUGGGUUUAGAACGUCGUGAGACAGUUCGGUCCCUAUCUGCCGUGGGCGCUGGAGAACUGAGGGGGGCUGCUCCUAGUACGAGAGGACCGGAGUGGACGCAUCACUGGUGUUCGGGUUGUCAUGCCAAUGGCACUGCCCGGUAGCUAAAUGCGGAAGAGAUAAGUGCUGAAAGCAUCUAAGCACGAAACUUGCCCCGAGAUGAGUUCUCCCUGACCCUUUAAGGGUCCUGAAGGAACGUUGAAGACGACGACGUUGAUAGGCCGGGUGUGUAAGCGCAGCGAUGCGUUGAGCUAACCGGUACUAAUGAACCGUGAGGCUUAACCUUACAACGCCGAAGGUGUUU